rnacentral:rRNA from 1 species
AUUGAACGCUGGCGGCAUGCCUUACACAUGCAAGUCGAACGGCAGCACGGGUGCUUGCACCUGGUGGCGAGUGGCGGACUGGUGAGUAAUGUAUCGGAACGUACCAUUCAGUGGGGGAUAACGUAGCGAAAGUUACGCUAAUACCGCAUAUUCUCUGAGGAGGAAAGUAGGGGAUCGCAAGACCUUGCGCUGAUUGAGCGGCCGAUAUCGGAUUAGCUAGUUGGUGAGGUAAAGGCUCACCAAGGCGACGAUCCGUAGCUGGUCUGAGAGGAUGAUCAGCCACACUGGAACUGAGACACGGUCCAGACUCCUACGGGAGGCAGCAGUGGGGAAUUUUGGACAAUGGGGGCAACCCUGAUCCAGCCAUGCCGCGUGAGUGAAGAAGGCCUUCGGGUUGUAAAGCUCUUUCGCGAGGGAAGAAAGCGCAACGGUUAAUACCCGUUGUGGAUGACGGUACCUUGAUAAGAAGCACCGGCUAACUACGUGCCAGCAGCCGCCGUAA